AUAUUUGUGGUGUAAUAAACACAUUAGACUUUCAUUCUAAAACUAUAAAAUAAUUUAUCAAAUAUA
rnacentral:tRNA from 1 species